rnacentral:rRNA from 1 species
CCUACGGGAGGCAGCAGUGAGGAAUAUUGGUCAAUGGGCGUAAGCCUGAACCAGCCAAGUCGCGUGAGGGAUGAAGGUUCUAUGGAUCGUAAACCUCUUUUAUCAGGGAGUAAAGUGCGGGACGUGUCCCGUUUUGUAUGUACCUUAUGAAUAAGGAUCGGCUAACUCCGUGCCAGCAGCCGCGGUAAUACGGAGGAACCGAGCGUUAUCCGGAUUUAUUGGGUUUAAAGGGUGCGUAGGCGGCCUUGUAAGUCAGCGGUGAAAGUCUGUGGCUCAACCAUAGAACUGCCGUUGAAACUGGGAGGCUGGAGUGUGGUAGAGGUAGGCGGAAUGCGUGGUGUAGCGGUGAAAUGCUUAGAUAUUACGCAGAACCCCGAUGGCGAAGGCAGCUUGCCAAGCCGUGACUGACGCUGAUGCACGAAAGCGUGGGGAUCAAACAGGAUUAGAUACCCCUGUAGUC